UGUUUUAGGAAGAAAUGACUUGCACCUUCACUGGCCUACCCGCUUCAAUAUAUUGUUGGGAACAGCAAGAGGACUUGCUUACCUUCAUGAGGAGUCAAGGCCCAGGAUUGUACAUCGAGAUGUCAAAGCCAGUAAUAUUUUGCUAGAUGCAGAACUCUCCCCAAAAAUAUCAGAUUUUGGAUUGGCAAAGCUUUAUGAUGACGAAAAAACCCACAUUAGCACCCGGGUUGCGGGGACAAUAGGCUAUUUGGCUCCGGAGUAUGCAAUGCGCGGACAUCUGACAGAAAAGGCUGAUGUUUUCGGUUUUGGGGUUGUUGCUUUGGAGAUCCUCAGCGGGAG